UACGUAGGGGGCUAGCGUUGUCCGGAAUCAUUGGGCGUAAAGAGCGUGUAGGCGGUCCGGUAAGUCCGCUGUGAAAGUCGGGGGCUCAACCCUCGAAUGCCGGUGGAUACUGUCGGGCUAGAGUGCGGAAGAGGCGAGUGGAAUUCCUGGUGUAGCGGUGAAAUGCGCAGAUAUCAGGAGGAACACCAGUGGCGAAGGCGACUACCUGGCCUGUUCUUGACGCUGAGGCGCGAAAGCUAGGGGAGCAAACGGG
rnacentral:rRNA from 1 species